AGGCACCUCUUGAAUAUCAAAGGUGAGCCAGUACAGGAUGGACCCGCGUCUGAUUAGCUAGUUGGUAAGGUAACGGCUUACCAAGGCGACGAUCAGUAGCCGACCUGAGAGGGUGAUCGGCCACAUUGGAACUGAGACACGGUCCAAACUCCUACGGGAGGCAGCAGUGGGGAAUAUUGCACAAUGGGCGAAAGCCUGAUGCAGCAACGCCGCGUGAGUGAUGAAGGCCUUCGGGUCGUAAAACUCUGUCCUCAAGGAAGAUAAUGACGGUACUUGAGGAGGAAGCCCCGGCUAACUACGUGCCAGCAGCCGCGGUAAUACGUAGGGGGCUAGCGUUAUCCGGAUUUACUGGGCGUAAAGGGUGCGUAGGCGGUCUUUCAAGUCAGGAGUGAAAGGCUACGGCUCAACCGUAGUAAGCUCUUGAAACUGGGAGACUUGAGCGCAGGAGAGGAGAGUGGAAUUCCUAGUGUAGCGGUGAAAUGCGUAGAUAUUAGGAGGAACACCAGUUGCGAAGGCGGCUCUCUGGACUGUAACUGACGCUGAGGCACGAAAGCGUGGGGAGCAAACAGGAUUAGAUACCCUGGUAGUCCACGCUGUAAACGAUGAGUACUAGGUGUCGGGGGUUACCCCCUUCGGUGCCGCAG
rnacentral:rRNA from 1 species